rnacentral:rRNA from 1 species
UACAGAGGUCUCAAGCGUUGUUCGGAUUCAUUGGGCGUAAAGGGUGCGUAGGCGGCGCGGUAAGUCGGGUGUGAAAUCUCGGAGCUUAACUCCGAAACUGCAUUCGAUACUGCCGUGCUUGAGGACUGGAGAGGGAUGUGGAAUUCCAGGUGUAGCAGUGAAAUGCGUAGAUAUCAAGUGGAACACCAGUGGCGAAGGCGAGUCUCUGGACAUUUCCUGACGCUGAGGCACGAAAGCCAGGGGAGCAAACGGG